rnacentral:rRNA from 1 species
AAUGGGGGCAACCCUGAUCCAGCCAUGCCGCGUGCGGGAAGAAGGCCUUCGGGUUGUAAACCGCUUUUAGUCGGGAAGAAAAGGCCAGGCCUAAUACGUCUGGUUCUUGACGGUACCGGCGGAAUAAGCACCGGCUAACUACGUGCCAGCAGCCGCGGUAAUACGUAGGGUGCGAGCGUUAAUCGGAAUUACUGGGCGUAAAGCGUGCGCAGGCGGUUCGUUAAGUCUGAUGUGAAAGCCCCGGGCUCAACCUGGGAAUGGCAUUGGAAACUGGCGGGCUUGAGUGUGGCAGAGGGGGGUGGAAUUCCGCGUGUAGCAGUGAAAUGCGUAGAGAUGCGGAGGAACACCGAUGGCGAAGGCAGCCCCCUGGGCUAACACUGACGCUCAGGCACGAAAGCGUGGGGAGCAAA